AUGCCUCACACUGGAGCCAGAACUCUUAAAGUGCCAGUGGGCUUCCAGAAGCAGAGAAGGUCUCACCAUCAGUACACGGUGGGAUGUCUCUGCCCUGCCCCUGUUAACACUGGGACCGCGGCCAAAUUUUUCAGCCCGCCUCCCCUCUCCCUGAGGCGCCCACGUCCCCCUCACCUGUCCACUGUCCUGCCCAGAGGCCAGGGAAGGGCGUGUGCUGGUACAGGCCGCUUCCACUCCCAUGGGAGGACCUGCUGCAGGAAGGGCAGGCGGCCCCAGACCCCUCAGCCCGGGCACCUGCUUCCCAAUCCGACUGGACGGAUGCCUCAGACUUUGGCAAGAAAGCACGCUCUGGUUCUUGGUAUUCUGAAUACGCUUUGCAAAACAUCCCGGCAGCUGCCUCGAGCCAUUCACUACUGGCUGCCUUCUGAGCAGCCCCACGCAGAAGGGAUGCACAGGGUUUGUGGCUUCACACUUCUCGGAGGUAUCAACCUGCUCAGAGGGGAACCGAGGGCGGCGAUCACGGGGAGAGGGUCUCCGCGUCAGACCCCUGCUUCCUGUUGCAGGGCCCUCACCUCCCUGCCCUGGCUGCACCCUGACAGUUUCCUUUCCCACGACAGGCAGGGGAGGACCCAGCCUUCCCCUCUGACCCUGGCAGCAUUCUCAAGUUUGGCACCGCUGUGGAAGCCCACACCCUGCUUUUCUGAGCUGGAGGUGUUCCUGGGAAACAGGAAGACAGCACUGGGCCGGCUUCUCCACCAAUACCUAGGUGGUCAUGUGGCCCCCUUCCCCGCACCCCCAGGCUCUCUGGGGGCGUUCCAUGCCCAACUGGACCGGCCAGGAAGUGCCCUCUUCCCGUGCCUGGCCCUGGGCUCUCCCACAGCCUGUUUGCUCCCAUCGCCAGGACGCAAAACAGCCCGCAGGUCGCCCUCCCGUGGGGAGCAGAAGGCCAGGAGGGGUCCCCGAGCCCCUUCCCUCCCCCGGCUCCCCUCUGCGGGCCCAGGCCGGGAAGUCUCGACUCUGGCGCGGAGCACAGAGCGCGGCACUGCACCAAACACUCCUCGGCACACCGGUCCCCGACACCCCACCUCCCGCCCCAGCGCGCCCUCCGUGUCCGCGCGGACUCCGCGCCCGAGCGCGCCUGCCGCCGCCAGGGCGUCCUCGGGGCUUGCGCGGCUGGACUCGGCGCUGCGGCGCGGCCAAGGCUUCCCGACCCAGGCCCUGCGCCCCGCUCGGUUCGGGGUACCGGCGUCGUCCCACCCAGCCCGCCGGUCUCCUCUCGGUCCCCGCCCUGGGUCCCCGCGCCCCUCGGCCUCCCCGCCGCACCCCUACCUCGCAGCCCCGAUCCUCCUCGCCGCGCGGCCGGGUCCUCCCCCGCACCCUCCGUCCUGCGGGCCGCGCACUCCGGUUGCUCCCAACCGUGCGCCCCCCGUCCUCCCCGCUGCGCCCCUAUCUCGCAGUCUGCGCCCUCGGGAGCCGGCAGAGGCGGUGCCAGGCGGGGGGCAGCGUGGGCACGUGGCGUGGGCCACGGAAAUCGGGGAGGUCUCCGCGUGA
ensembl:lncRNA